rnacentral:tRNA from 1 species
CCGNGCUUAGCUCAGUUGGCUAGAGCACCUGACUGUAGAUCAGGGGGUCCCCGGUUCAAGUCCGGGAGCGCGGACCA